rnacentral:rRNA from 1 species
UACGGGGGGAGCAAGCGUUGUUCGGAAUUACUGGGCGUAAAGCGUGCGCAGGCGGUUCGUGAUGUCUGGUGUGAAAGCCCCGGGCUUAACCUGGGAAUUGCAUUGGAAACUAGCGGGCUGGAGUGUGGCAGAGGGGGGUGGAAUUCCACGUGUAGCAGUGAAAUGCGUAGAGAUGUGGAGGAACACCGAUGGCGAAGGCAGCCCCCUGGGCUAACACUGACGCUCAUGCACGAAAGCGUGGGGAGCAAACAGG